rnacentral:rRNA from 1 species
GAUGAACGCUGGCGGCGUGCCUAAUACAUGCAAGUCGAGCGAACGGACGAGAAGCUUGCUUCUCUGAUGUUAGCGGCGGACGGGUGAGUAACACGUGGAUAACCUACCUAUAAGACUGGGAUAACUUCGGGAAACCGGAGCUAAUACCGGAUAAUAUUUUGAACCGCAUGGUUCAAAAGUGAAAGACGGUCUUGCUGUCACUUAUAGAUGGAUCCGCGCUGCAUUAGCUAGUUGGUAAGGUAACGGCUUACCAAGGCAACGAUGCAUAGCCGACCUGAGAGGGUGAUCGGCCACACUGGAACUGAGACACGGUCCAGACUCCUACGGGAGGCAGCAGUAGGGAAUCUUCCGCAAUGGGCGAAAGCCUGACGGAGCAACGCCGCGUGAGUGAUGAAGGUCUUCGGAUCGUAAAACUCUGUUAUUAGGGAAGAACAUAUGUGUAAGUAACUGUGCACAUCUUGACGGUACCUAAUCAGAAAGCCACGGCUAACUACGUGCCAGCAGCCGCGGUAAUACGUAGGUGGCAAGCGUUAUCCGGAAUUAUUGGGCGUAAAGCGCGCGUAGGCGGUUUUUUAAGUCUGAUGUGAAAGCCCACGGCUCAACCGUGGAGGGUCAUUGGAAACUGGAAAACUUGAGUGCAGAAGAGGAAAGUGGAAUUCCAUGUGUAGCGGUGAAAUGCGCAGAGAUAUGGAGGAACACCAGUGGCGAAGGCGACUUUCUGGUCUGUAACUGACGCUGAUGUGCGAAAGCGUGGGGAUCAAACAGGAUUAGAUACCCUGGUAGUCCACGCCGUAAACGAUGAGUGCUAAGUGUUAGGGGGUUUCCGCCCCUUAGUGCUGCAGCUAACGCAUUAAGCACUCCGCCUGGGGAGUACGACCGCAAGGUUGAAACUCAAAGGAAUUGACGGGGACCCGCACAAGCGGUGGAGCAUGUGGUUUAAUUCGAGGCAACGCGAAGAGCCUUACCAAAUCUUGACAUCCUUUGACAACUCUAGAGAUAGAGCCUUCCCCUUCGGGGGACAAAGUGACAGGUGGUGCAUGGUUGUCGUCAGCUCGUGUCGUGAGAUGUUGGGUUAAGUCCCGCAACGAGCGCAACCCUUAAGCUUAGUUGCCAUCAUUAAGUUGGGCACUCUAAGUUGACUGCCGGUGACAAACCGGAGGAAGGUGGGGAUGACGUCAAAUCAUCAUGCCCCUUAUGAUUUGGGCUACACACGUGCUACAAUGGACAAUACAAAGGGCAGCGAAACCGCGAGGUCAAGCAAAUCCCAUAAAGUUGUUCUCAGUUCGGAUUGUAGUCUGCAACUCGACUACAUGAAGCUGGAAUCGCUAGUAAUCGUAGAUCAGCAUGCUACGGUGAAUACGUUCCCGGGUCU